AGUGCCUGCCUCUGCCACUGCCACUGGCACUGGCGCAAGCGAAGUUUUUGGCCAACUUGCAGGCCAGCGCCGUGUGGCACAGAAUCAGUCGUCAGUUUGUCCUAAGCGGAUUUGGUCGACACGUGUGUAGAUGUGUGUGGCCAGAGCCGAAAAGAGUUUAGAACGUGACUAAAACAGACACCAAAACCAAACCAAAGAAAACGCAAAAAGUAAAAGCGGAAGAAGCGGAA